GCUGUGGGGAUGAUAAUAGAAAUAAUUGUCAUGUACCCAAUUCAACUCCGAAAAUACCGCCCAGGAAUUGACAACUUACUAGUACUUCUUAUUGGAGGGAUUCCUAUUGCAAUGCCCACAGUUUUAUCUGUGACAAUGGAAUAGGUUCGCACCGUUUAUCGCAGCAGGGAGCAAUAACAAAACGAAUGACAGCGAUAGAGGAAAUGGCAGGCAUGGAUGUCCUUUGCAGUGACAAAACUGGAACUCUGAC
rnacentral:misc_RNA from 1 species